ACGAACGCUGGCGGCGUGCUUCACACAUGCAAGUCGAACGGAAAGGCCCUGCUUUUGUGGGGUGCUCGAGUGGCGAACGGGUGAGUAACACGUGAGUAACCUGCCCUUGACUUUGGGAUAACUUCAGGAAACUGGGGCUAAUACCGGAUAGGAGCUCCUGCUGCAUGGUGGGGGUUGGAAAGUUUCGGCGGUUGGGGAUGGACUCGCGGCUUAUCAGCUUGUUGGUGGGGUAGUGGCUUACCAAGGCUUUGACGGGUAGCCGGCCUGAGAGGGGGACCGGCCACAUUGGGACUGAGAUACGGCCCAGACUCCUACGGGAGGCAGCAGUGGGGAAUAUUGCACAAUGGGCGGAAGCCUGAUGCAGCAACGCCGCGUGCGGGAUGACGGCCUUCGGGUUGUAAACCGCUUUCGCCUGUGACGAAGCGUGAGUGACGGUAAUGGGUAAAGAAGCACCGGCUAACUACGUG
rnacentral:rRNA from 1 species